rnacentral:rRNA from 1 species
GAUGAACGCUGGCGGCGUGCCUAAUACAUGCAAGUCGAGCGUACGGAUGAGAAGCUUGCUUCUCUGAUGUUAGCGGCGGACGGGUGAGUAACACGUGGAUAACCUACCUAUAAGACUGGGAUAACUUCGGGAAACCGGAGCUAAUACCGGAUAAUAUUUUGAACCGCAUGGUUCAAAAGUGAAAGACGGUCUUGCUGUCACUUAUAGAUGGAUCCGCGCUGCAUUAGCUAGUUGGUAAGGUAACGGCUUACCAAGGCAACGAUGCAUAGCCGACCUGAGAGGGUGAUCGGCCACACUGGAACUGAGACACGGUCCAGACUCCUACGGGAGGCAGCAGUAGGGAAUCUUCCGCAAUGGGCGAAAGCCUGACGGAGCAACGCCGCGUGAGUGAUGAAGGUCUUCGGAUCGUAAAACUCUGUUAUUAGGGAAGAACAUAUGUGUAAGUAACUGUGCACAUCUUGACGGUACCUAAUCAGAAAGCCACGGCUAACUACGUGCCAGCAGCCGCGGUAAUACGUAGGUGGCAAGCGUUAUCCGGAAUUAUUGGGCGUAAAGCGCGCGUAGGCGGUUUUUUAAGUCUGAUGUGAAAGCCCACGGCUCAACCGUGGAGGGUCAUUGGAAACUGGAAAACUUGAGUGCAGAAGAGGAAAGUGGAAUUCCAUGUGUAGCGGUGAAAUGCGCAGAGAUAUGGAGGAACACCAGUGGCGAAGGCGACUUUCUGGUCUGUAACUGACGCUGAUGUGCGAAAGCGUGGGGAUCAAACAGGAUUAGAUACCCUGGUAGUCCACGCCGUAAACGAUGAGUGCUAAGUGUUAGGGGGUUUCCGCCCCUUAGUGCUGCAGCUAACGCAUUAAGCACUCCGCCUGGGGAGUACGACCGCAAGGUUGAAACUCAAAGGAAUUGACGGGGACCCGCACAAGCGGUGGAGCAUGUGGUUUAAUUCGAAGCAACGCGAAGAACCUUACCAAAUCUUGACAUCCUUUGACAACUCUAGAGAUAGAGCCUUCCCCUUCGGGGGACAAAGUGACAGGUGGUGCAUGGUUGUCGUCAGCUCGUGUCGUGAGAUGUUGGGUUAAGUCCCGCAACGAGCGCAACCCUUAAGCUUAGUUGCCAUCAUUAAGUUGGGCACUCUAAGUUGACUGCCGGUGACAAACCGGAGGAAGGUGGGGAUGACGUCAAAUCAUCAUGCCCCUUAUGAUUUGGGCUACACACGUGCUACAAUGGACAAUACAAAGGGCAGCGAAACCGCGAGGUCAAGCAAAUCCCAUAAAGUUGUUCUCAGUUCGGAUUGUAGUCUGCAACUCGACUACAUGAAGCUGGAAUCGCUAGUAAUCGUAGAUCAGCAUGCUACGGUGAAUACGUUCCCGGGUCU